AUUGAACGCUGGCGGCAGGCCUAACACAUGCAAGUCGAACGGCAGCGGGGGGUAGCUUGCUACCCCGCCGGCGAGUGGCGGACGGGUGAGUAAUGCCUGGGGAGCUGCCCAAUCGAGGGGGAUACCAGUUGGAAACGACUGCUAAUACCGCAUACGCCCUGAGGGGGAAAGGUGGGGAUCUUCGGACCUACCGCGAUUGGAUGCACCCAGGUGGGAUUAGCUAGUUGGUGAGGUAACGGCUCACCAAGGCGACGAUCUCUAGCUGGUCUGAGAGGAUGACCAGCCACACUGGAACUGAGACACGGUCCAGACUCCUACGGGAGGCAGCAGUGGGGAAUAUUGCACAAUGGGGGAAACCCUGAUGCAGCCAUGCCGCGUGUGUGAAGAAGGCCUGGUGUAAG
rnacentral:rRNA from 1 species